rnacentral:rRNA from 1 species
UACGAAGGGUGCAAGCGUUAAUCGGAAUUACUGGGCGUAAAGGGCGCGUAGGCGGCCUACUAAGUCGGACGUGAAAUCCCUCGGCUCAACCGAGGAACUGCGUCCGAUACUGGCAGGCUGGAAUCCGGGAGAGGGAUGUGGAAUUCCAGGUGUAGCGGUGAAAUGCGUAGAUAUCUGGAGGAACACCGGUGGCGAAGGCGGCAUCCUGGACCGGUAUUGACGCUGAGGCGCGAAAGCUAGGGGAGCAAACGGG